UACGUAGGGGCAAGCGUUGUCCGGAUUUAUUGGGCGUAAAGAGCGUGUAGGCGGCCAAACAGGUCAGCUGUGAAAACUCGAGGCUCAACCUCGAGACGUCGGUUGAAACCGUUUGGCUAGAGUCCGGAAGAGGAGAGUGGAAUUCCCGGUGUAGCGGUGAAAUGCGCAGAUAUCGGGAAGAACACCCGUGGCGAAGGCGGCUCUCUGGGACGGUACUGACGCUGAGACGGCGAAAGCGUGGGGAGCGAACGAGG
rnacentral:rRNA from 1 species